rnacentral:pre_miRNA from 13 species
AAGUCUCUCGCCCAGUGGCGUUAAUAUCUCACUGGGGCCUCCAAAUGUUGUACCUGAGUAAGUUAGAGAAAACACCACACUUUGAGAUGAAUUAAGAGUCCGUUUAUUU